AGGUUCGCCUCGUGUUAUGAAACAGAGGGCAGGUCCUUCUUCCUUAGGAAGCCCUCUUAAAGUAUUGAGUGAGCUAGUGAAAGAGCUGAUACCGCCGUUCUAUUUCCAGAAUGGCUGUCCAGCACCUAAGGAACUAAAGGAGAGAUGUUUGUUUAGAAUAAAUCAGUUUUUUAUGGUCAUACAGAGGGCUUGCCAAUGAAUGAGUUCAAAGCUGUUACAAAGGAAAUAUGUAAGCUGUCAUCCUUCUUCUCUACCGUCCUUUUCCAAAAGAUUGAUGUCAACGAUACAUGAUUUGUCACCAGUGGCUUUCUAGUAAAAAACUUGGUGCUACAAGCAUAAAUUCUAAGAGUUCUAGAACUCAUAUUGUAUUUACUUGCGUGAUUGAAUCCUGGUGCAAGGAAACUCCAUCAAGUAACAUCAACAGUUAAAACUAGGCGAAUCAUCCUUAUUGAUCUUGUUGCAAUGUGAAGAGAUAAACAAGUUUAUGCCGGAAGAGAGUUUGAAAGGGAACGAAAAGAACUGAAGAGUUCUUUGCCACA